rnacentral:rRNA from 1 species
AUUGAACGCUGGCGGCAUGCUUUACACAUGCAAGUCGAACGGUAACAGGCCGCAAGGUGCUGACGAGUGGCGAACGGGUGAGUAAUGCAUCGGAACGUGCCCAGUCGUGGGGGAUAACGCAGCGAAAGCUGCGCUAAUACCGCAUACGAUCUAUGGAUGAAAGCGGGGGACCGUAAGGCCCCGCGCGAUUGGAGCGGCCGAUGUCAGAUUAGGUAGUUGGUGGGGUAAAGGCUCACCAAGCCAACGAUCUGUAGCUGGUCUGAGAGGACGAGCAGCCACACUGGGACUGAGACACGGCCCAGACUCCUACGGGAGGCAGCAGUGGGGAAUUUUGGACAAUGGGCGCAAGCCUGAUCCAGCAAUGCCGCGUGCAGGUAGAAGGCCUUCGGGUUGUAAACUGCUUUUGUACGGAACGAAACGGUCUGGGUUAAUACCUCGGGCUAAUGACGGUACCGUAAGAAUAAGCACCGGCUAACUACGUGCCAGCAGCCGCGGUAAAAC